GAUGAACGCUGGCGGCGUGCCUAAUACAUGCAAGUCGAGCGAACAGACGAGGAGCUUGCUCCUCUGACGUUAGCGGCGGACGGGUGAGUAACACGUGGAUAACCUACCUAUAAGACUGGGAUAACUUCGGGAAACCGGAGCUAAUACCGGAUAAUAUAUUGAACCGCAUGGUUCAAUAGUGAAAGACGGUUUUGCUGUCACUUAUAGAUGGAUCCGCGCCGCAUUAGCUAGUUGGUAAGGUAACGGCUUACCAAGGCAACGAUGCGUAGCCGACCUGAGAGGGUGAUCGGCCACACUGGAGCGGGGACACGGUCCAGACUCCUACGGGAGGCAGCAGUAGGGAAUCUUACGCAAUGGGCGAAAGCCUGACGGAGCAACGCCGCGUGAGUGAUGAAGGUCUUCGGAUCGUAAAACUCUGUUAUUAGGGAAGAACAAAUGUGUAAGUAACUAUGCACGUCUUGACGGUACCUAAUCAGAAAGCCACGGCUAACUACGUG
rnacentral:rRNA from 1 species